UCACUCAGGUGUCUCUGGAUUUAGACUGUACUCACUUAGGAGUCUCUGGAUUUAAACUGGACUCACUCAGGUGUCUCUAGAUCUAGACUGGACUCACUCAGGUGUCUCUGGAUUUAAACUGGACUCACUCAGGUGUCUCUGGAUUUAGACUGGACUCACUCAGGUGUCUCUAGAUUUAGACUGGACUCACUUAGGAGUCUCUGGAUCUAGACUGGACUCACUCAGGUGUCUCUGGAUCUAGACUGGACUCACUCAGGUGUCUCUAGAUUUAGACUGGACUCACUUAGGAGUCUCUGGAUCUAGACUGGACUCACUCAGGUGUCUCUAGAUUUAGACUGGACUCACUUAGGAGUCUCUGGAUUUAGACUGGACUCACUCAGGUGUCUCUGGAUUUAGACUGGACUCACUCGGGUGUCUCUGGAUUUAGACUGGUCCCCCUUGGAUGUCUCUGGAUUUAGACUGGUCCCCCUUGGUUGACUCUGGGUUUAAAUGGUACGUACUCGGGUGUCGGGGGGUUUAAACCGGACUCACUUGGUGUUUUGAGAUUUGAACAGGACUAACUGAAAUGUGUCUCAGGGUUUAAAUGUUUUGUAUGAAGUAAAAUAAAUAAUUAACUUCCUCUGA